rnacentral:rRNA from 1 species
UACGUAGGGUGCGAGCGUUAAUCGGAAUUACUGGGCGUAAAGCGUGCGCAGGCGGUUUGUUAAGACAGAUGUGAAAUCCCCGGGCUUAACCUGGGAAUGGCGUUUGUAACUGGCAAGCUAGAGUAUGUCAGAGGGAGGUAGAAUUCCACGUGUAGCAGUGAAAUGCGUAGAUAUGCGGAGGAACACCGAUGGCGAAGGCAAUCCCCUGGGCCUGCACUGACGCUCAUGCACGAAAGCGUGGGGAGCAAACAGG